CAGGGAUUGCCUCAGUAACGGCGAGUGAAGUGGCAACAGCUCAAAUUUGAAAUCUGGCCUUCAGGCCCGAGUUGUAAUUUAUAGAGGAUGCUUUUGGUUAGGUGCCUUCCGAGUUCCCUGGAAUGGGACGCCAUAGAGGGUGAGAGCCCCGUCUGGUCGGAUGCCGAGCCUCUGUAAAGCUCCCUCGACGAGUCGAGUAGUUUGGGAAUGCUGCUCAAAAUGGGAGGUAUAUGUCUUCUAAAGCUAAAUACCGGGCAGAGACCGAUAGCGCACAAGUAGAGUGAUCGAAAGAUGAAAAGCACUUUGAAAAGAGAGUUAAAUAGCACGUGAAAUUGUUAAAAGGGAAGCGUUUGUGACCAGACUUGCGCCGACUGAUCAACCAGCGUUCUCGCUGGUGCACUCUGUCGGCUCAGGCCAGCAUCGGUUCGCCCCGGGGGAUAAAAGCUAGGGGAAUGUGGCUCCUCGGAGUGUUAUAGCCCCUAGCAUAAUACCCUGAGGCGGACCGAGGUUCGCGCAUUGCAAGGAUGCUGGCGUAAUGGUCAUCAACGACCCGUCUUGAAACACGGACCAAGGAGUCGUCUUCGUAUGCGAGUGUUCGGGUGUCAAACCCCUACGCGUAAUGAAAGUGAACGCAGGUGAGAGCUUCGGCGCAUCAUCGACCGAUCCUGAUGUUCUCGGAUGGAUUUGAGUAAGAGCAUACGGGGCCGGACCCGAAAGAAGGUGAACUAUGCUUGUAUAGGGUGAAGCCUGGGGAAACCCCGGUGGAGGCUCGCAGCGGUUCUGACGUGCAAAUCGAUCGUCAAAUAUGAGCAUGGGGGCGAAAGACUAAUCGA
rnacentral:rRNA from 1 species